AUGUCUAAGCGAAGAAGGCAGGGCGAGGAGGAUGAGCCCAACAACUACCACGACCGCUGCGGCAACAAGGAGAAGAGCCUCUAUCUGGUUCUAGACGACUGGCACAAGGGCUUCACCAUCCGCAAGAUUGAUGCCGACAGUCCCGACCUCAGCGCCCCCCUGUCCUCUGGCUAG
rnacentral:rRNA from 1 species